rnacentral:rRNA from 1 species
CGCGCAGGCGGGUUGGCAAGUCAGAGGUGAAAUCCUACAGCUUAACUGUAGAACUGCCUUUGAGACUGCUAAUCUUGAGUACGGAAGAGAGAGAUGGAAUUCCAGGUGUAGUGGUGAAAUACGUAGAUAUCUGGAAGAACACCAGUGGCGAAGGCGAUCUCUUGGUCCAUUACUGACGCUGAGGCGCGAAAGCGUGGGGAGCAAACA